rnacentral:rRNA from 1 species
AUUGAACGCUGGCGGCAGGCCUAACACAUGCAAGUCGAGCGGAGCGGAGGACGGGUGAGUAAUGCCUAGGAAUCUGCCUGGUAGUGGGGGAUGACGUCCGGAAACGGGCGAUAAUAGCGCAUACUAUCAGAUAGGACUAGGUUGGAUGAGAUAUGUGGUGGGGUAAAGGCCUACCAAGGCGACGGUCCGUAACUGGUCUGAGAGGAUGAUCAGUCACCCUGGAACUGAGACACGGUCCAGACUCCUACGGGAGGCAGCAGUGGGGAAUAUUGGACAAUGUGCGAAAGCCUGAUCCAGCCAUGCCGCGUGUGUGAAGAAGGCCUUCGGGUUGUAAAGCACUUUCAGCGGGGAGGCGUUACCCGCAGAAGAAGCACCGGCUAACUCCGUGCCAGCAGCCGCGGUAAUAC